rnacentral:rRNA from 1 species
UUGUACACACCGCCCGUCACACCAUGAGAGUUUGUAACACCCAAAGUCGGUGAGGUAACCUUUUAUUAGGAGCCAGCCGCCUAAGGUGGGACAGAUGAUUAGGGUGAAGUCGUAACAAGGUAGCCGUAGGAGAACCUGCGGCUGGAUCACCUCCUUUCU